rnacentral:rRNA from 1 species
GGAUCCAGACCUUGAUCCUGGCUCAGGAUGAACGCUAGCUACAGGCCUAACACAUGCAAGUCGAGGGGAAACGGCAGCUUAGCUUGCUAAGCUGGACGUCGACCGGCGCACGGGUGAGUAACGCGUAUCCAACCUGCCCCACGGUGAGGGAUAACCCGCGGAAACGCGGCCUAAUACCUCAUGGUCUCCGAGCUUGACAUCAAUCUUGGAGUAAAGAUUCAUUGCCGUGGGAUGGGGAUGCGUCUGAUUAGCUUGUUGGCGGGGCAACGGCCCACCAAGGCUACGAUCAGUAGGGGUUCUGAGAGGAAAGCCCCCCACAUUGGAACUGAGACACGGUCCAAACUCCUACGGGAGGCAGCAGUGAGGAAUAUUGGUCAAUGGGCGAGAGCCUGAACCAGCCAAGUAGCGUGCAGGAAGACGGCCCUAUGGGUUGUAAACUGCUUUUAUGCGGGGAUAAAGCGGGCGACGUGUCGCCCUUUGCAGGUACCGCAUGAAUAAGGACCGGCUAAUUCCGUGCCAGCAGCCGCGGUAAUACGGAAGGUCCGGGCGUUAUCCGGAUUUAUUGGGUUUAAAGGGAGCGCAGGCCGGGUAUUAAGCGUGUUGUGAAAUGUAGGCGCCCAACGUCUGCACCGCAGCGCGAACUGGUGCCCUUGAGUACGCACGACGUUGGCGGAAUUCGCCGUGUAGCGGUGAAAUGCUUAGAUAUGGCGAAGAACUCCGAUUGCGAAGGCAGCUGACGGGAGCGCUACUGACGCUCAUGCUCGAAAGCGCGGGUAUCGAACAGGAUUAGAUACCCUGGUAGUCCGCGCGGUAAACGAUGGAUGCCCGCUAUUUGCGCCUUAGCGCAAGUGGCCAAGUGAAAACGUUAAGCAUCCCACCUGGGGAGUACGCCGGCAACGGUGCAACUCAAAGGAAUUGACGG